CAAAGGUGAGCCAGUACAGGAUGGACCCGCGUCUGAUUAGCUAGUUGGUAAGGUAACGGCUUACCAAGGCGACGAUCAGUAGCCGACCUGAGAGGGUGAUCGGCCACAUUGGAACUGAGACACGGUCCAAACUCCUACGGGAGGCAGCAGUGGGGAAUAUUGCACAAUGGGCGAAAGCCUGAUGCAGCAACGCCGCGUGAGUGAUGAAGGCCUUCGGGUCGUAAAACUCUGUCCUCAAGGAAGAUAAUGACGGUACUUGAGGAGGAAGCCCCGGCUAACUACGUGCCAGCAGCCGCGGUAAUACGUAGGGGGCUAGCGUUAUCCGGAUUUACUGGGCGUAAAGGGUGCGUAGGCGGUCUUUCAAGUCAGGAGUGAAAGGCUACGGCUCAACCGUAGUAAGCUCUUGAAACUGGGAGACUUGAGUGCAGGAGAGGAGAGUGGAAUUCCUAGUGUAGCGGUGAAAUGCGUAGAUAUUAGGAGGAACACCAGUUGCGAAGGCGGCUCUCUGGACUGUAACUGACGCUGAGGCACGAAAGCGUGGGGAGCAAACAGGAUUAGAUACCCCGGUAGUCCACGCUGUAAACGAUGAGUACUAGGUGUCGGGGGUUACCCCCUUCG
rnacentral:rRNA from 1 species